rnacentral:rRNA from 1 species
GACGAACGCUGGCGGCGUGCUUAACACAUGCAAGUCGAACGGAAAGGCCCUGCUUUUGUGGGGUGCUCGAGUGGCGAACGGGUGAGUAACACGUGAGUAACCUGCCCUUGACUUUGGGAUAACUUCAGGAAACUGGGGCUAAUACCGGAUAGGAGCUCCUGCUGCAUGGUGGGGGUUGGAAAGUUUCGGCGGUUGGGGAUGGACUCGCGGCUUAUCAGCUUGUUGGUGGGGUAGUGGCUUACCAAGGCUUUGACGGGUAGCCGGCCUGAGAGGGUGACCGGCCACAAUGGUACUGAGAGACGGCGCAGACUCCAACGGGGGGCAGCAGUGGGGAAUAUUGCACAAUGGGCGGGAGUCUGAUGCAGCAGCGCCGCGUGCGGGAUGACGGCCUUCGGGUUAUAAACCGCUUCCGCCUGUGACGAAGCGUGAGUGACGGUAAUGGAUAAAGAAGCACCGGCUAACUACGUG